ACGGCUACAUCGCAUUGAAACACUGCUUCCCGUACGAUCACUGAAGUUAAGCAACGUCGAGCCUAGUCAGUAUCUAGAUAGGUGACCGCUUGUGAACGCCAGGUGCGGUAA